AGUCCAUGGUGUGGAUAUUUUCAAAACAAAUCUCUAAACCUUUUGCAUACUUCAUAUAAUGAUUCAUCAUCCAAUUGACUAAAACUAGUAAUAUCCAUUCUAACCUU